UUGCAUGCGUGUUUACAAUAUUAGUUCAUUUUUUCCUGAAAAAAAACAUUAAAUUGAACAACAUAAUUGUUGAUGAAGGAUUAAUCACCUUAUUUGUACCUGUGCGGGAAAUAGAAAUACAUAUCUGCAUUGUGAUACGGGACACUGGCAUAAGGGAAAUCAUUAGCCUCGAAGAUUCUGACAGCGCGAAAGAGGUUAUGUUUGACGAAAGAUUGUCAAAAGGAUCAUUCCUGCAAUAAUCUUCGAUCAAAAGCAUUGACAAUCACUGCAAACCCUGUGAGAAGGCUGUGUGUAACUGAGUGAGGUAAAUCAUUCAUCGAUUUCUGAUGCAGCAGAAUGUCCCAGCAUGACCAUUAGUCUGAUGCAAUAAUGGAUUAUCGAGCGUCAGCUCUCACAGAUGAACCCAUAGUCAUAACCCCUCGCCUUAUUACGUUUUCAAGUUGAAGAAGAGUAUCGAGGCACUGAGAUACUUUAUUAUGUACUCAAAUGUAUCUGUGGGAGGAAAGGAGCUACUUCGGAUCAAGCACUACCCCAAUGGUAAUCCUCAGAUCCUUUACGAAAGCCAGAAAUCAUCGGUGACGCUAUGAAAUACACCCAGGACAUAGAAGGCAGUAGAAAAAACAGAAAAGCCCAAAAAUAUUUCAAUUCUCAUCCUGCUGUGAUCUCUCUAUUUGAAUUUAUUUAAUGUU